rnacentral:rRNA from 1 species
CCUACGGGUGGCAGCAGUGGGGAAUAUUGGACAAUGGGGGCAACCCUGAUCCAGCCAUGCCGCGUGUGGGAAGAAGGCCCUCGGGUUGUAAAGCACUUUCAGUGAGGAAGAACGCCUGGUGGUUAAUACCCAUCAGGAAAGACAUCACUCACAGAAGAAGCACCGGCUAACUCCGUGCCAGCAGCCGCGGUAAUACGGAGGGUGCGAGCGUUAAUCGGAAUUACUGGGCGUAAAGCGCGCGUAGGUGGCUUGAUAAGCCGGUUGUGAAAGCCCCGGGCUCAACCUGGGAACGGCAUCCGGAACUGUCAAGCUAGAGUGCAGGAGAGGAAGGUAGAAUUCCCGGUGUAGCGGUGAAAUGCGUAGAGAUCGGGAGGAAUACCAGUGGCGAAGGCGGCCUUCUGGACUGACACUGACACUGAGGUGCGAAAGCGUGGGUAGCAAACAGGAUUAGAUACCCUGGUAGUC